CCCGUCGCUACUACCGAUUGAAUGGCUCAGUGAGGCCUUCGGACUGGCCCAGGGAGGUCGGCAACGACCACCCAGGGCCGGAAAGUUGGUCAAACUCGGUCAUUUAGAGGAAGUAAAAGUCGUAACAAGGUCUCCGUAGGUGAACCUGCGGAGGGAUCAUUA
rnacentral:rRNA from 1 species